rnacentral:misc_RNA from 1 species
CAACCCCUAAGCCCGGCUUAGUGUUGGGGCUCCGCCUCUACGGCGGUCCCCUAAAUCUAGCGUGCGGAUCCGCGGUGAUCUCUGAGCGUAGUAAUUACUCCUCGCUCCUGAGCAGCCGCGCCUUCGGCCGUAAAACCCCCCAAUUUAUAGU